rnacentral:rRNA from 1 species
AAUAGCGGAGGAAAAGAAACUAACAAGGAUUCCCCUAGUAACGGCGAGUGAAGAGGGAAGAGCUCAAAUUUUAAAUCUGCCUUGUUCCAAGGUCGAGUUGUAAUUUGAAGAAGCGUUUUCUUGGGCUCGCGGCCGGUAGAAGUUCUUUGGAACAGGACAUCAUAGAGGGUGACAAUCCCGUCCGUGACCGGUCGUGCGUUCAUCUACGAUACGCUUUCAAAGAGUCGAGUUGUUUGGGAUUGCAGCUCCAAACGGGUGGUAAACAUCACCUAAGGCUAAAUAUUGGCGAGAGACCGAUAGCGAACAAGUACCGUGAGGGAAAGAUGAAAAGAACUUUGAAAAGAGAGUUAAACAGUACGUGAAAUUGUUGAAAGGGAAACGAUUGAAGUCAGUCGUGCUGGCGCGAAAUCAACCCUCUCGUCUUGAGAUCACAUGGCGCGACGAGCCUCAAAACCGUCACGAAGCGUGAACUCUUGACGAAAAGGUGCACUUUCGUGUCCGCUGGUUAACAUCAAUUUCGAACGUCAUAAAAAGGCUGGAGGGAUGUGGCUCCUUCGGGAGUGUUAUAACCUUUAGCGGAAUGUGGCGUUCGGGAUUGAGGAUUGCAACGAAUACCUUCAGGGCUGUUCCACCUGGCUUCUCAUUGGUAUCCUGGUGACGACAGCUUGCUGACGUCGUUAGGAUCAGCUUCUGAACAGGCUAGAGUGUGAGCAAAUUCGUWAAGGAUGUUAACGUAAUGGCUUUAAACGACCCGUCU